GAUUAGCACUCCCCUUGAUAAGGAUGGAAGAGGUCCUAGUGAUUUUUACAACACGCAUAUGGUUAAGGCAUUGCCACUUACUUUGUGGCAUCUAACACUGUUAGUGU
ensembl:snRNA